GCCUUGCUAGCUCAAUGGUAGAGUGUCAGACUCUUACAGUCCUUCUGACCGGGAUCGACUCCUGUGUGAGGCU